rnacentral:rRNA from 1 species
UAUACUUAGUGGCGGACGGGUGAGUAACGCGUGGGCAACCUGCCCCGUGCCGGGGGAUACCGCCUGGAAACAGGCGCUAAUACCGCAUAAGCGCAUACAGCCGCAUGGGUGUAUGCGGAAAGCUCCGGCGGCACGGGAUGGGCCCGCGCCCGAUUAGCCAGUUGGCGGGGUAACGGCCCACCAAAGCGACGAUCGGUAGCCGGCCUGAGAGGGCGGACGGCCACAUUGGGACUGAGACACGGCCCAAACUCCUACGGGAGGCAGCAG